GCGAGCUAUUAGGUUGGAUGCAAUGAAGUGCCAUUAUAUAUUGGCCAUAUUUUCAAUAUUACUUAGCCCUUUAUGGGCUGCUGACAAUUUUAAGGUGGUUUGCUUUUUUGAUUCCUCAAAAAAUCCCAACAUUAGCCUAAGCGAUUUAAGCAAUGCCCUUGACCAUUGUAGCCAUUUCGUUUACGGCUACGCCACUUUGGUGCCACAUUUCUUUUCAAUUUCGUUCGAUGGAACGCAGGAGCGAACCAUUCCCCCAUCCGAUAUUGGCAUAUUGAAACAAGAAUUUCCUCAAGUGAAAUUUCCCAUUUUGAAGUACAUCAGUCAUACUUUGUUGAAGAAAUAUCAAUGAGUCAGUUGUUGUAAGAAACCGAUGUAUGAGAGUAUUUACUAAAUAUAAAUGGAUUAAAAUAA